UCUGGGGGCCCAUCCCUGCAG
rnacentral:miRNA from 8 species